rnacentral:rRNA from 1 species
UUAAGCAUAUAAUUAAGCGGAGGAAAAGAAACUAACUAGGAUUCCCUCAGUAAGGGCGACUGAAGCGGGAAGAGCUCACCGUGUGAAUCUGUACAGGCUUGUCCUGUGCCGAGUUGUGGUCUGUAGAAACAUUGUCGGUCAGCGUUCCGGGCCAAGUCCCUUGGAAAAGGGCAGCUGAGAGGGUGAGACUCCCGUUCUUGCCUGGAAUGUGUGAUCAUGGCACAAGUUUUCAACGAGUCGAGUUGCUUGGGAUUGCAGCUCAAAGUGGGUGGUAAAUUCCAUCUAAAGCUAAAUAUUGGUGGGAGACCGAUAGCGUACAAGUACCGUGAGGGAAAGAUGCAAAGAACUUUGAAAAGAGAGUUAAAGAGUACCUGAAAUUGCUGAAAGGGAAGCGAAGGAAACCAGUGCUUAUUCUAUGCCAUUCUUCUUCUGUUGCUUGCGACAGAAGCGCUGUGGUUUAGUAUGGGCCAGCAUGGGUUUGACUCGGAGGAAAUGGCUUUGUGGGAGGUAGGUUCUUUUCGAACUGAAGACCACUUUGUUCUACUCUGGGUUGGAUCGAGGAUAGUCACUUGUGCUCGUGAUGCUGGCGAAAUGGUUUUCUUUACCCCGUCUUGAA